rnacentral:rRNA from 1 species
UUUGGUGAUUAUAUCGAGGAGGAAACACCUGUUCCCAUUCCGAACACAGAAGUUA